rnacentral:rRNA from 1 species
AUUGAACGCUGGCGGCAGGCCUAACACAUGCAAGUCGAGCGGAUGAGUGGAGCUUGCUCCAUGAUUCAGCGGCGGACGGGUGAGUAAUGCCUAGGAAUCGGCCUGGUAGUGGGGGACAACGUUUAGAAAGGAACGCUAAUACCGCAUACGUCCUACGGGAGAAAGUGGGGGAUCUUCGGACUUCACGCUUUCAGAUGAGCCUAGGUCGGGUUGGCUGGUUGGUGGGGUAAAGGCUCACCAAGGCGUCGAUCCGUAACUGGUCUGAGAGGAUGAUCCGUCACACUGGAACUGAGACACGGUCCAGACUCCUACGGGAGGAAGCAGUGGGGAAGAUUGGACAAUGGGCGAAAGCCUGAUCCAGGCAUGCCGCGUGUGUGAAGAAGGUCGUCGGAUUGUAAAGCACUUUAAGUUGGGAGGAAGGGCAGUAAGUUAAUACCUUGCUGUUUUGACGUUACCAACAGAAUAAGCACCGGCUAACUUCGUGCCAGCAGCCGCAGUAAUAC